GUCGGUGCAUCUGCACCUUGGCGGAAGCAAGAAAGCUAAGGAAACGCCAUCAUGGCAUCUACCGGUACCGUCAAGUGGUUCAAUAACGAAAAGGGCUUCGGCUUCAUCGCCCCGGACGACGGCAGCGCUGACGUCUUCGCGCACUUCUCUGCGAUUGCUGGCAACGGCUACAAGUCGCUCGAGGAGAACCAGAAGGUGGAGUUCGACAUCACCGAGGGCCGCAAGGGCCCGCAGGCGGAGAACAUCACCGUCCUCGGCUGAUCACAUCAGCUUGAACAGGCCCCGUCGUCUUCGGACGACGGGGCCUGU
rfam:Curtobacterium flaccumfaciens TCD-AKT genomic scaffold scaffold1.4, whole genome shotgun sequence.